CUCCUGCUAACAAUAUCUGCUGCCAUGGACUGUUAACUAUAGCUAAAGCCAGCGAGCCGCCGAUAUGGUCGUUGAGCUCAGAGGCGGCUCUGUAACUUGCUUGGUACUGAACCAAGAAUACUGCUACUAUGGCUGUCCCAAUUGGGAAUUUCUUUAUCCUGAAAUGUCUUCUAUUGUCUCUUCUACUAGCAGGUUUCUCUUCUGAAGGAAAUGUCUUACGAGUCACUUGCGGAAUCGAGCUAGCUUUGGAACUGGUGUUGUUUCCAGACGAGGGAAGAGCUGUGUUUGAUGGAGUCCAAUAAUCUUCUCCAAGCAUGUAAGCUGAUCCUUUUUCUUUAGUUUUCCCCCCGCUCUGUUCUGCUUGUUUCAUUGCUGCCACAGCAUCUUGAAGCUUUCUGAUAUCUGGAUCAACUGUUUUUUUUCGUUUGGUGAAAGUUAGACUCAUGUUUGAAUCUGGACUCAACGGUUUCGUGUACGGUGAUGAUCUCCAGUAUAGCCAAUUGGAAAUGGACCUUAUUGCCUCUACUGCACUUAUUUGUACUUCUCUCUGCAAGUAUUAAUAUAACUACUUAUUAUCUGACAGGUAAGUUUAUAACUUGGCUUUUACUACUUCUUACUUCUUAGGAUAAUGGAUAACUCACCUGGGAAGUUUCUUUCGUGGUUCGGCUCAUGGCUUUGGCGUAUCUUUCUUGGAACUUCUUGACAUCAACAAAUACAUUGGAGACACGCUCGCCAACCGUGUUUCCAACCCCGAUUCUCACGUUGCCUCGUGGUUGCUUUGACAUAAGGAACUCUAAUGGAGCAAGGUCAGAUCUCUCCACCAUUCUGCACAUCUCAUAAAGAAUCAUACUUUAUGUAUUUCUCUAAAUGUCUCUCUUGACUUCACAUAUUGAGAGGGAAUUGAAACAAAACCAUUACUACAUGUCUACAUCUACUAGUUAUGUGCUUACGAAAUGCAGUCGACAAGGCAAGCUUCGAUGGCUUCUUUGAUUUUGGAUUCAGGAUCAGCCCAUUGAGCAACAACCCUCGCUCUCCCGUAAGCAGUUUCAAUAGCAAAUGUUUUCUCUGCACACAAAGCACACUUUAAGCAACCAACACACUUAACCUCGUCAACAAAUGCAGCUCGUUGCUCUGUUUCUGGUCCACACCAAACCGAAUAGAUCGGUUUCCCUGUGUAUCCUCUGAGUUCUUCCAGUUUUGCUUGCUCCUACAACAAGAAAGUUUCAUAUUUACUUGGUGUGCCCUUGACAGAGACUACAAGAAUCAAUAUAAGAGCUAACCUUGUCAUAAGCUUGACGCGUGAUCGGAUCAGAGAGAAGCUGGUAAGCCUCGUUAAGGAUGAUGGCCAUGUCGUGACC
rnacentral:lncRNA from 1 species